AAGUCGUAACAAGGUUUCCGUAGGUGAACCUGCGGAAGGAUCAUUAACACGUCACGUAUCCACGUAUCAACACUCUGUGAACUCAACCUCCCCGAUGGUAGAAAAGCUGUUAACUUAGUUAGUGGUGGGUGUGCAGACCUAAACAGCUGUGCACAACUAGGUCAACUAGGGUCUCGAGCCCAGUGCUUUCUUCUAUUGGGCUUUUUUUCCCCACUUUUUAACAACCAUUUUCACUCCUUAACCCCUUUUGACUGAUGUACUUAUGUAAGAGAAAUCUGGCAUGAGUUUUUAUCUAAACUAAGCACAACUCUUAGCAAUGGAUAUCUUGGUUCUC
rnacentral:misc_RNA from 1 species